UCCUACGGGGGGCAGCAGUGGGGAAUAUUGCACAAUGGGGGAAACCCUGAUGCAGCGACGCCGCGUGAAGGAAGAAGUAUUUCGGUAUGUAAACUUCUAUCAGCAGGGAAGAAAAUGACGGUACCUGACUAAGAAGCCCCGGCUAACUACGUGCCAGCAGCCGCGGUAAUACGUAGGGGGCAAGCGUUAUCCGGAUUUACUGGGUGUAAAGGGAGCGUAGACGGGAAUACAAGUUGGUUGUGAAAGCCCUCGGCUUAACUGAGGAACUGCAACCAAAACUAUAUUUCUUGAGUAUCGGAGAGGAA
rnacentral:rRNA from 1 species